UACAGAGGUCUCAAGCGUUGUCCGGAAUUAUUGGGCGUAAAGGGCGCGUAGGCGGCCGUUUGCGUCGGAUGUGAAAGCCCGGGGCUCAACCUCGGAACGGCAUUCGAUACGGGACGGCUGGAGACCGGGAGAGGAGAGUGGAAUAGCCAGUGUAGAGGUGAAAUUCGUAGAUAUUGGCUGGAACACCGGUGGCGAAAGCGGCUCUCUGGCCCGGUUCUGACGCUGAGGCGCGAAAGCGUGGGGAGCAAACAGG
rnacentral:rRNA from 1 species